CUAUUUUGGGUCCAUAAUCCCUCAUCCAGAGCCUUUGGGGCAAGACCCGAAUGGGGAUUCUGAGUGCAUGCUAUGGCAUAACGUGGCCACAGGAGUCUAAGGCAGUGCCCCAUUUUCAAACACUUUCAUAUUUCUCCCGCAGAAUGUAUGAAACAGUCAAACCAAGUGUGGUAAGAAAGACUAUAAAUAGCUCCACAUCAGUUGCCAAAAGAAUUGUGAGAAACUUUGCGCAUUCAGAGCCUUUGAGGUUUUGGAGUCUGAGAGAAGGGAUUGUGGGCCAGCCCCACACCACUGGUGGCUCUGCAAGCUGGAGCCGUUGUUCAGUUUCUUGGGGCCUCAGUGGCCUUCGAUGUUAAUGAGGACAUGGACGCAAACGACCCCGGGCCACACUCGGCUCCAGGGCUCUGUGUGGCUGUGGAACCCUGGAAGCCUGAGCUUAGCUGCCUUUCAACUUCCAUCUGCUGUACUAUUGAAUUGGCAUUGUGCGGUGAGAUGGCUGAAAGGUAGACAUCGAGAAGUUUCAAUAUUCAGAAUCUUUUCUUCUCAAGAUGCUGAAUGUAAUCUUAGUUGUAAAUACCCAUCACCUGCCAGUCACCAAGCACUCAUGCACCAGGGCUUUGCGUUAUGUCCUAAGAUCCUCAUAACCACCUUGCAAGGGGGCUAUCAUCGUUACCCCUGUAUUACAGAUGGAGAAACUGAGGCACAGAGAGGUGAGGUGACUUGUCUCAGGCCAUAAAGCUGGGGAAAGUAGUGGAGCUGGUUUUGAACCUGAGCUGUGAGACCUCAGAGCCCUAAACUCUGGUGCCUGUGUGUUCCCCUUUCAACCCAGACUUUGGAAAUCAGUAGACAGCAUAUGCUUCAAAAAACAGGGGCUAUUAAAAUGACAUCAGGAGCCAGAAAGUCUCAUGGCUGUGCUUUCUCUUGAAGUUUAUACAACAACCAGAUCACCGAUGUCGGAGCCAGGUACGUCACCAAAAUCCUGGAUGAAUGCAAACGCCUCACACAUCUUAAGUAAGUGGGGUAGGCACCAGGUUCCUUAGUAUCUUCUCUUGGUCGCCCCCUUCUGUUGUUCAAAGAUUAAAUGUCACGGUAAAGAGCUUUCAUCCUAAAGCCUUCCACUUGUCCCAGGGCCAUGUUGGUCAAGUAAAGAUACCUCUGUGUGAUCUGUGAGGCUUGGAUUCUGGAAGGGCCUCCUGUUGUUGGUAGGGGGAAAGGUUGGCAUUUUGAUUUCAUUAACUACUAGCCCGAAGAAAGGACUAACUCUCACCCUUUCUGGUGGUCUUUUUGCCCCAAGGGAGUUUCCUGUCUGGUUGCAAGGAAGAGCUUGGGCCCUUGCCCUGCUGUAGAUGUGCCCUGCGCAGGGGGUGACAGUGUGCCAGGCUUGGAGCCUCUGGUCCUGCCCUGACAGUGGCCACAUACCUUGACCCUUGGCAGUCAAAAUGGGACCUCCCAGGUCUCCCGAGGGAAGUCAGUGAUGCUGCUGAGGUCACUUAGAGGACCCCAGGGAGGGCUCAGGUCCCUGAGCUUCUGCAGAGACUGUGGACCAUCUCCUGGAGAGGAACCCUGAUUGCUGUCCUCAGGGCUUCAGGUCCCUCCCUGACAGGAGGCCCAGGGCAUGGUUCUUGUGGAUCCCAGAAGAAAGUGUACAGUUCCCAAGAUGGGGCUGGAAGGGGCUCUGUGCUGGGGAGGAGGGUGACCCACGUUGGAGCCCCUGCAUAGCUGGAGGCUGACUGUGCGUGACUCUCUCUGUAGACUGGGAAAAAACAAAAUAACGAGUGAAGGAGGGAAGUGUCUCGCCCUGGCUGUGAAGAACAGCAAAUCAAUCUCUGAGGUUGGGCUUAUCCAGAAUCAGAUCACAGCUAAGGGGACUGCCCAGCUGGCAGAUGCGUUACAGAGCAACACUGGCAUAACAGAGAUUUGCCUAAAUGGAAACCUGAUAAAACCAGAGGAGGCCAAAGUCUAUGAAGAUGAGAAGCGGAUUAUCUGUUUCUGAGAGGAUGCUUUCCUGUGCAUGGGGUUUUUGCCCUGGAGCCUCAGCAGCAAAUGCCACUCUGGGCAGUCUUUUGUGUCAGUGUCUUAAAGGGGCCUGUGGAGGUGGGACUAUCAGGAGUCCACUGCCUCCAUGAUGCAAGCCAGCUUCCUGUGCAGAAGGUCUGGUCGGCAAACUCCCUAAGUACCCGCUACAAUGCUGCAGAAAAAGAAUGUGUCUUGUGAGCUGUUGUAGUUACAGUAAAUACACUGUGAAGAGACUUUAUUGCCUAUUAUAAUUAUUUUUAUCUGAAGCUAGAGGAAUAAAGCUGUGAGCCAAACAGAGGAGGACAGCCUCAGCUCAUUCCAACGCCUGCCAUAGAGACCAACGGGAGUGAGUUGGUCACCGCUGUUUUCAUUGAAGAGUUGAGGAUGUGGCACAAAGUUGGUGCCAAGCUUCUUGAAUAAAACGUGUUUGAUGGAUUAGUAUUAUACCUGAAAUAUUUUCUUCCCUCUCAGCACUUUCCCAUGUAUUGAUACUGGUCCCACUUCACAGCUGGAGAUACCAGGGUAUGUGCAGUGUGGGAUUUGACUCCUCCAAGGUUUUGUGGAAAGUUAAUGUCAAGGAAAGGAUGCACCACAGGCUUUUAAUUUUAAUCCUGGAGUCUCACUGUCUGCUGGCAAAGAUAGAGAAUGCCCUCAGCUCUUAACUGGUCUAAGAAUGACGAUGCCUUCAAAAUGCUGCUUCCACUCAGGGCUUCUCCACUGCUAGGCUACCCUCCUCUGGAAGGCUGAGUACCAUGGGCUACAGUGUCUGGCCUCAGGAAGAAGUGAUUCUGUCCCCCCAAAGAAACAGGGCAUGGCUUGCCUUUGUGGCCCUGGCAUCCAAAUGGCUGCUUUUGUCUCCCUUACCUCGUGAAGAGGGGAAGUCUCUUCCUGCCUCCCGAGCAAUUGAAGGGUGACUAAACUGGCGCCAAGACUCAGGGGAUCGGCUGGGAACUGGGCCAGCAGAGCAUGUUGGACACCCCCCACCAUGGUGGGCUUGUGGUGGCUGCUCCAUGAGGGUGGGGGUGAUAUUACUAGAUCACUUGUCCUCUUGCCAGCUCAUUUGUUAAUAAAAUACUGAAAAC
rnacentral:sRNA from 1 species